rnacentral:misc_RNA from 1 species
GGAAUAUUGCACAAUGGGCGCAAGCCUGAUGCAGCCAUGCCGCGUGUAUGAAGAAGGCCUUCGGGUUGUAAAGUACUUUCAGCGGGGAGGAAGGCGGUGCGGUUAAUAACCUUGUCGAUUGACGUUACCCGCAGAAGAAGCACCGGCUAACUCCGUGCCAGCAGCCGCGGUAAUACGGAGGGUGCAAGCGUUAAUCGGAAUUACUGGGCGUAAAGCGCACGCAGGCGGUCUGUCAAGUCGGAUGUGAAAUCCCCGGGCUCAACCUGGGAACUGCAUUCGAAACUGGCAGGCUAGAGUCUUGUAGAGGGGGGUAGAAUUCCAGGUGUAGCGGUGAAAUGCGUAGAGAUCUGGAGGAAUACCGGUGGCGAAGGCGGCCCCCUGGACAAAGACUGACGCUCAGGUGCGAAAGCGUGGGGAGCAAACAGGA